AAGAUGAGACGCCCAUCAAGAGUAGAGUGGGCUUGCGAGCGAGUGUGAUGGCUUUAUGUUUGUGCCGAUACAUCAUCCUAUGCUGCCAUCCUCGGCACCGCCAUCAAGCCCUCUCUGCCACUCCAAGAAAUAACAAUUUCUCUUCGCUUUAUUGUCCUCCAAAUCGCUGCCAAAAAUUUACUUCUGCCCUCUCGAUUGAUCCUCAUCAUCGUCAUAAACGCUUCAGAGCUUCAUUUUGUGCUCAAUCAUUAUCAAUCAUGCAAAACCCGCCUCAAGGUUAUAGAAGAAACGUUGGUAUUUGUCUCAUGAAUCCCUCUUCUAAAAAGAUUUUUGCAGCAUCAAGACUUGACAUACCUGACGCCUGGCAAAUGCCUCAGGGAGGGAUUGAUGAAAGUGAAGAUCCAAGAACUGCAGCUGCAAGGGAAUUGAGAGAAGAAACAGGAGUUACUACAGCAGAUGUUGUUGCUGAGGUGCCUUAUUGGUUGACUUAUGAUUUCCCUCCAGCUGUGCGGGAGAAACUAAAUCGUCAAUGGGGAUCAGACUGGAAAGGUCAAGCUCAGAAAUGUGGCGGUGGGUGGUCAAGGUGGGGAGGAGAUAGCUGCUGCUUCAUAUAGCUAAAUGCUAGUAACUUCAUGGUUUCUUUUCAAAUUCAAUGGAAAUGAUGAUGAAAUCAAUCUUUUGGGUGAUGGUACUGAGAAGGCUGAAUUUGGAGAAUGGGCAUGGAUGUCAGCAGAACAAGUAAUUAAUCAUGCAGUGGAUUUCAAGAAACCUGUUUAUGAGGAAGUUUUGUCUGUUUUCUCAACAUAUCUGCAGUAAAUUACUGAAGAUUAUUCUUUUAGUGGACGUGCAAAUUUACUGGACUUUUUCAAGUGGAAAUCAUGCAGCAGCAUCUUGUCAAAAGCUAAAAUUUAUGACUCUAAUGAUUAUGUUUUAAUUCCGAAGUAUUGUCAUACGGAUCCACAGGUUCAAAGUACUUCAUUUUGCUUGGAUGUGUUAAUGCAUAUUCUACAAGUUCAAGGACAGUAUCGACAAAGUUGUUAUUACUUGUAAGAAGGAAGCUGCCAACGUUUUGCAGCCUGUUUAUAUUCGGAGAGGGAAUCAAAGCUUGCAUGGCAUUUGCGGAUACUAGACUGCACUGAUCAAAUACAUCACAUUGAGAAAAGUAAUGGAUGACCUGACAGCAUUACAAAUUGUCUCUAAAUUUUGCAUGGUGUCUGUGUCGUGCUUAGAGGUUGAACGAGGGGGAAAGUUUGUGAUGUGUCUAUCUCUUGGCAAUACUUCGUUCUCAUUCAAAAACUUAUCUUGCAUUGGCAUAGGAUGUUUCAACUAAC